rnacentral:rRNA from 1 species
GAUGAACGCUGGCGGCGUGCCUAAUACAUGCAAGUCGAGCGAAUGGAUUAAGAGCUUGCUCUUAUGAAGUUAGCGGCGGACGGGUGAGUAACACGUGGGUAACCUGCCCAUAAGACUGGGAUAACUCCGGGAAACCGGGGCUAAUACCGGAUAACAUUUUGAACCGCAUGGUUCGAAAUCGAAAGGCGGCUUCGGCUGUCACUGAUGGAUGGAACCGCGUCGCAUUAGCUAGUUGGUGAGGUAACGGCUCACCAAGGCAACGAUGCGUAGCCGACCUGAGAGGGUGAUCGGCCACACUGGGACUGAGACACGGCCCAGACUCCUACGGGAGGCAGCAGUAGGGAAUCUUCCGCAAUGGACGAAAGUCUGACGGAGCAACGCCGCGUGAGUGAUGAAGGCUUUCGGGUCGUAAAACUCUGUUGUUAGGGAAGAACAAGUGCUAGUUGAAUAAGCUGGCACCUUGACGGUACCUAACCAGAAAGCCACGGCUAACUACGUGCCAGCCGCCGCUGUAA